AUGUUGAUCCGUGGUGUUUGUUUUCAAACGAUUUGUUGUUGUUCUUUUCUUUCAGCUUUGCAUCAUGUCAUGAUGUCAAAGGCCUUUUUGCGGGCGCAGAGGGAGAAAGGGAAAAGGAUUUGCCACGCGAGGCGAGUUCUCGACCCGAAGCCUUUUCAUUUUCGUUUGCCUCAAGUCAAUUGGCUCGCACUCCUUUCUCCCUGGUCUACCCAUCAGCCAAGGCAACAUGAAAUAUUAACAUGGAUGCAGAGUUGGUUCGCUGCCGCAAGCGAUGCUGAGAGAGAGUUCAUGAUCCAGGGGCUAUAUGGGCUGUGGUUAGCAAGGAACGAGAUGAGAGAUGAUCACAGCAAGAAGAAGUCCCCCCACCGAAACCCGUUGGCCGAGCAGGGGAGGCCGAGACCGCGCCCACCGGACCAGAUCCGCGAUGGAUCCAUGCCCGCGCCGCCGCCACUGAGCCAACCCCACGCGCUACCACCACGACCUGGCCACCCGCUCACGCCGCCGUGUGGCCGCCGCGCCGCCCGACGAGCCCUCGCCGCAUCAGCCCCAAGACUCCGCCGCGUCGCCGCAUCUCGCGCUACAGCCGCACGUCGGGAGGAGAUGAAGGGCCCCGCCGCCGCUGACACGCACCGGGCUUCGCCCGGCGGCGUCUUCUGGCGGCGGCGAGGGGAGGGGAUGGUGUAG
rnacentral:rRNA from 1 species